CCCGACCCAAACCCAAACUCGCCAGCUCCCUCUCAACCCUAUCGCCUCCCCACCUGCCGCCUCCCCUGGCGCCGCCGGGCGCUCGGCUUUCCCCCUCUCUAGCGCCGUCGACCUCUCUCUCUCGCUCGCUCGCUCGGAGGCGGUGCUCGCGCUGGUGGCGUGGAUGGCGUGGGCGGAGGGCGGGCUGCACGUGCGCUCGGCCACCACGCUGCUCCCCUACGCGGCGCGGCUGGCAUGUGUCCUGGCGUGGGUGCCGCUCGUGCUGGGCAACGGCGCGGUGCGUGCGGGCAUGGCCGCCAGCGCCUUGGUGUGCGCGCACGGGUUCGACGCCGUGAACCUUGUCGCCGGUGACCUUGCCAAGUCCGCCGUCGCCUGGGCCGUGCUCGUCGCCGUCGUCAACAACAAGACGCUCUGAGCCCGCUCCUCCGUCCCGCCUGUUCAUAUCCAUCCGUCGGGAGCUCCAGCGCCUCAUUGGGGACGCGGGGCCCGGGGACCUGCUCUUCUUCCACUACAGCGGCAGGUGCUGAAGGCGGCGUUGAGGCAGCGCGGGUGAGCAGGAUACCAAGGCAACUCGACUGAGCAGGGUACCACCACCAGCAGCAGUUAAGAGUCGUGGUGGUGGAGCAUGACCACAAUGGCGCAGGAUGUCUAGUGGGCAGAACCAGAGGUACAUUAGAUAGAUACAGGAUAGUUGCUGUCUUGUUGGCUUCAUUUCCAAAACUGAAUGGCUAAUCAUCUAAUUCAUCUGUAGAAUGAGGUUCCAUUUCAUCGAUAAUAUCUACCUUGCUUGAUUUAUUUUCCAAAAUGAAUGGCCAAUUAUCUGAUUUAUGUCUAGAACUGCAGUUCCAUUUUACAGAUAAUUUUUCUUUUUCUUGAUGUAAUCCUCCUGUUUGUUAUUGCCGUUCAAACUAUUGUUUGUUCCCUUGAUUGUUGUGUAACUUUAUUGAUAAUAAUGGCAUAAACAUUUUAGCAUCAGUGCAUAAUAUAUCUAAUCUGAAAUUAGCUUGUUAACUUUAAGGUUGUAUAUGCUAUCACUGAAUACUUGAAUCAUUUGUGCAGUUUACCUAUGAUAUGAGCUUAUGUCAUAGUGCAUGAAUCCAGACAAUAAUAAGUGAGACUCAUGUCUCCCUUCUUUAUUUACAUAUGCUCAACCUUUAUUUUGUCCCCAUGUUUUCUCUAGUUUAUGCAGAGAGGGAGAUAGUGGACAAGGUGAGAGGGGCGGCAGCACACCCCAGUUAGCAGGAGCUAUAUAGGUCAAUUAUAGCUUCUAGUGGAACUGCGAACUUGUGUUUGCAAUUAUGUUGAAACCUAUCUUUUUUUUUUGUUUCCGACGCUGUGCAAGUGAUGCUAGAGGAAAAAAAAUGUAUGUGAUCUGUUGAUUUAAUAUCAUGCUGAAUGGAAACUUGAUUCAUUUGAUGCUAUUAUUUUUGUGCUG